GUAUAAAAAAGUAGUAUUUCAGAAGAGCAGAAGAAAUCUUGUCUUUUGAACAAUAACAACAUUUGUUAUUAAUCUGUUGCUAAAAUGAGAGAUGAGCUUGUUUUCCUAAUGAAGUGCCACAAAGUAAACGUCUGAUUUUUACUUUUGCAAAAUCUACCAACUAUCAAGGUGUAUAGUCACCUAGCAAUCAGACUUCCUCUUGGGUCUGCUUGUGUGACUACAAUAGAUAGCAGCAUCUCCAGCAGAUCUGAAUCAGUAGUUGUGUCCAUGUCGCUCUACCAAAUGGAUCGGCACUAACAAAACCCCCAAGGCCACAGGGUGGAGUACAUCCUGGACAGAUUGCCAGGCCAACGGUUUGCAACUAAUACAACAAAGUAGUUACAAGCUGUGGACUGCAGCCACCCCACACAGAUGUAACCAAGCUCUAACUUCUGCCAUGAACAGAGGGAGAAAAAGAAGCAGAGACCAGGCUUCUCCAUGGGCCGCCCCCUUCCAAAAUGGAUUCUGCUUUGUACCAACUCAUCACCUUGAUCUGACUGCCCCGGUUGAAAUUCGACUGGAGGAAUCCAACUGAAUGGAAGAAACUUGCCA